AAUGAGCCUGCGAGUUGUGGUGUCUGGCAAGGUUAAGCAAACGCGAAGCCGUAGCGAAAGCGAGUCUGAAUAGGGCGCUUAGUCAGAUGCUGCAGACCCGAAACGAAGUGAUCUAUCCAUGAGCAAGUUGAAGCUAGUGUAAGAACUAGUGGAGGACUGAACCCAUAGGCGUUGAAAAGCCCCGGGAUGACUUGUGGAUAGGGGUGAAAGGCCAAUCAAACUUCGUGAUAGCUGGUUCUCUCCGAAAUAUAUUUAGGUAUAGCGUUGUGUCGUAAUAUAAGGGGGUAGAGCACUGAAUGGGCUAGGGCAUACACCAAUGUACCAAACCCUAUCAAACUCCGAAUACCUUAUAUGUAAUCACAGCAGUCAGGCGGCGAGUGAUAAAAUCCGUCGUCAAGAGGGAAACAACCCAGACUACCAGCUAAGGUCCCUAAAUCUUACUUAAGUGGAAAACGAUGUGAAGUUACUUAAACAACCAGGAGGUUGGCUUAGAAGCAGCCAUCCUUUAAAGAAAGCGUAAUAGCUCACUGGUCUAGUGAUUUUGCGCGGAAAAUAUAACGGGGCUAAAGUAAGUACCGAAGCUGUAGACUUGCGCACAACUUAGAUUAUUUAAGUUUAGAAUAUGAGAAACUAAGUUAUAUGUUUAGUUAUAUUUUUACUGAUUUUUAUAGAGUAAAGAUAGAAAUAAAACUUAGUAAAAUCAGUAAAAAUAUUCUUAGACUAAAGUUAAGUAGUUUAAGUUGUGUGCAAGUGGUAGGAGAGCGUUCUAUUUGCGUCGAAGGUAUACCGGUAAGGAGUGCUGGAGCGAAUAGAAGUGAGCAUGCAGGCAUGAGUAGCGAUAAUUAAUGUGAGAAUCAUUAACGCCGUAAACCCAAGGUUUCCUACGCGAUGCUCGUCAUCGUAGGGUUAGUCGGGUCCUAAGUCGAGUCCGAAAGGGGUAGACGAUGGCAAAUUGGUUAAUAUUCCAAUACCAACAUUAGUGUGCGAUGGAAGGACGCUUAGGGCUAAGGGGGCUAGCGGAUGGAAGUGCUAGUCUAAGGUCGUAGGAGGUUAUACAGGCAAAUCCGUAUAACAAUACUCCGAGAACUGAAAGGCUUUUUGAAGUCUUCGGAUGGAUAGAAGAACCCCUGAUGCCGUCGAGCCAAGAAAAGUUUCUAAGUUUAGCUAAUGUUGCCCGUACCGUAAACCGACACAGGUGGGUGGGAUGAGUAUUCUAAGGCGCGUGGAAGAACUCUCUUUAAGGAACUCUGCAAAAUAGCACCGUAUCUUCGGUAUAAGGUGUGGUUCGCUUCGUAUUAGGAUUUACUCCGAAAGCGAAGAAACUUACAACAAAGAGUCCCUCCCGACUGUUUACCAAAAACACAGCACUCUGCUAACUCGUAAGAGGAUGUAUAGGGUGUGACGCCUGCCCGGUGCUCGAAGGUUAAUUGAUGGGGUUAGCAUUAGCGAAGCUCUUGAUCGAAGCCCGAGUAAACGGCGGCCGUAACUAUAACGGUCCUAAGGUAGCGAAAUUCCUUGUCGGUUAAAUACCGACCUGCAUGAAUGGCGUAACGAGAUGGGAGCUGUCUCAAAGAGGGAUCCAGUGAAAUUGUAGUGGAGGUGAAAAUUCCUCCUACCCGCGGCAAGACGGAAAGACCCCGUGGACCUUUACUACAGCUUGACACUGCUAUUUGGAUAAGAAUGUGCAGGAUAGGUGGGAGGCUUUGAGUAUAUGACGCCAGUUGUAUAUGAGCCAUUGUUGAGAUACCACUCUUUCUUAUUUGGGUAGCUAACCAGCUUGAGUUAUCCUCAAGUGGGACAAUGUCUGGUGGGUAGUUUGACUGGGGCGGUCGCCUCCCAAAUAAUAACGGAGGCUUACAAAGGUUGGCUCAGAACGGUUGGAAAUCGUUCGUAGAGUAUAAAGGUAUAAGCCAGCUUAACUGCAAGACAUACAAGUCAAGCAGAGACGAAAGUCGGUCUUAGUGAUCCGGUGGUUCUGUGUGGAAGGGCCAUCGCUCAAAGGAUAAAAGGUACCCCGGGGAUAACAGGCUGAUCUCCCCCAAGAGCUCACAUCGACGGGGAGGUUUGGCACCUCGAUGUCGGCUCAUCGCAUCCUGGGGCUGGAGCAGGUCCCAAGGGUAUGGCUGUUCGCCAUUUAAAGCGGUACGCGAGCUGGGUUCAGAACGUCGUGAGACAGUUCGGUCCCUAUCUGCCGUGGGCGUAAGAAGAUUGAAGAGAUUUGACCCUAGUACGAGAGGACCGGGUUGAACAAACCACUGGUGUAGCUGUUGUUCUGCCAAGAGCAUCGCAGCGUAGCUAAGUUUGGAAAGGAUAAACGCUGAAAGCAUCUAAGCGUGAAGCCAACUCUAAGAUGAAUCUUCUCUAAGCUCUCUAGAAGACUACUAGUUUGAUAGGCUGGGUGUGUAAUGGAUGAAAGUCCUUUAGCUGACCAGUACUAAUAGAGCGUUUGGCUUAUCUUUAAUAAAGCAU
rnacentral:rRNA from 1 species